GGGCGAGUAGCUCAAUUGGAUAGAGCACCGGCCUUCUAAGCCGGGGGUUCUGGGUUCAAAUCCCAGCUCGCCUACCA
rnacentral:tRNA from 1 species